GAGCAAUUCCUUCAGCUUUUGUAUGUCUUAGAAAGUAUCCCCUGAUUCUUUUAUUUAUUAAUUUUUUUGUGUCCAUGCCUUGCGGCUUGUGGGAUCUUAGUUCCCUAACCCGGGAUCGAACCUGGGCCCUCGGCAGUGAACGCACCGAGCCCUAACUGCUGGACCACCAGGGAAUUCCCUCAUGAUUCAUUUUUUGAAAGAUAUUUUCACUAGGUAUAGACUUCUAUUACUCACAGUCUCAAGGCCCAUAGGCCUCAAAUUCCAUUAAAGGUGGGCAGGCUGCUGCCCCUUGUGCUCAGGGUAGGCGCUGGGUGUCGGGUUUCCUGGGGUCCCUGUGCCCCCCUCAGCUUGCCAUUGUCCCCACAUACAUGCAUCAGAGUCUUUCUCCAGGCUCUGACGCCGUCCCCGGUUGUCCACAGCUGUUGUUUAUGACUCUGGUGCUAAGCUCGUGGUAGGACCAGGUGAGAUGUGUUUUGUCCCAAUUCAGCCUCAAAUCUCAGGCAGGCCCUUCACACUCUGGCUUCAGGGGUGAGGUUUUCCUGGCAUUCCUGUUCCUCCUACCCCUGGCCUCCAAAUGCUGCCUUGUAACUGCGGUGGCCUGGGGUGGUUGUUUUCCACAUACACCCCCCAGGAGAGCAAUCACCCAGGAUCUGUACCUGCCCCACCACCAGGAGCAGAGACUUCUGGCUUCUACCCUCCCCCUGAGGCAACAAGUCUUUGCCCAUGUUCAAGGAGAGGCAGAUGGAUUUUACUUCUGCUGCUUCUCCAGAAAGUACCAUGCCCAGCACGUCAUGACUUGGGCUCUGCAGAGGAGAGGGAGUCCGGGAAGCUAGUGGGACUUUGAGCUUGUUCCUCCACAGCCACCAGUCACCUCCUCAGUCCUCCACAGCCACCAAUCACCUCCACGUUUGCAGGGAGGUCAGCACCGCAUGCUCUCCUCCUCAGGGACACCUGGUGAAGGCAGAGGGCGAAGAGCUCUCAGCCAGUAUCCUUGGAAAUGGAUGUGGAUGGACAACUGAAAAUAGAACCUGUGAUUAGAACAGGCUGCAGUCAAGGAGUCAGCCAGGCCUACAGUCUCUGGAUAAAACUGAAGCUGGAGGAUUCUCCCCAAGCUCACUUACAGAGUUGUGGCGAGAGGCUCCCAUUGCCUGACCCAUGGUCAUCUCCACCAGAUUGCGAACAGUAUGAUUCCAUCAGAGUAACUGAUGAAACAAAGCCAGGGAGAGAAGCAGCUGUCCUUUGUCAUCUAAGAUCUUAACAAAUGACUUUAUAGUUGUACUCUUGUGCUUUCCUGAGAGUGUUAGCUUCCAUGAUGGCUGAGACGGUAAAGAAUCUGCCUGUAGUGCAGGAGACUUGGGUUCGAUCCUUGGGUCCAGAAGAUCCCCUGGAUAAGGGAAUGGCAACCCAUCCAGGUAUGACCUAAAUCAAAUCCCUUAUGACUAUACAGUGGAAGUGAGAAAUAGAUUUAAGGGACUAGAUCUGAUAGACAGAGUGCCUGAUGAACUAUGGAUGGAGGUUCGUGACAUUGUACAGGAGACAGGAAUCAAGACCAACCCAAGAAAAAGAAAUGCAAAAAAGCAAAAUGGCUGUCUGAGGAGGCCUUACAAAUAGCUGUAAAAAGAAGAGAAGUGAAAAGCAAAGGAGAAAAGGAAAGAUAUACCCAUUUGAAUGCAGAGUUCCAAAG
ensembl:lncRNA